AGAGUUUGAUCCUGGCUCAGGAUGAACGCUAGCUACAGGCUUAACACAUGCAAGUCGAGGGGCAUCAGAUCGAAAGCUUGCUUUUGAUGCUGGCGACCGGCGCACGGGUGAGUAACGCGUAUCCAACCUUCCCUAUAGUAGAGAAUAGCCCGGCGAAAGUCGGAUUAAUGCUCUAUGUUGUAUUUAGAAGACAUCUGAAGAAUACCAAAGGUUUACCGCUAUAGGAUGGGGAUGCGUCUGAUUAGGUAGUAGGCGGGGUAACGGCCCACCUAGCCGACGAUCAGUAGGGGUUCUGAGAGGAAGGUCCCCCACAUUGGAACUGAGACACGGUCCAAACUCCUACGGGAGGCAGCAGUGAGGAAUAUUGGUCAAUGGACGGAAGUCUGAACCAGCCAAGUAGCGUGCAGGAUGACGGCCCUAUGGGUUGUAAACUGCUUUUAUAUAGGGAUAAAGUCGGGGACGUGUCCCCGUUUGUAGGUACUAUAUGAAUAAGGACCGGCUAAUUCCGUGCCAGCAGCCGCGGUAAUACGGAAGGUCCAGGCGUUAUCCGGAUUUAUUGGGUUUAAAGGGAGCGCAGGCUGAUGAUUAAGCGUGACGUGAAAUGUAGCCGCUCAACGGCUGAACUGCGUCGCGAACUGGUUAUCUUGAGUGAGUUCGAUGUUGGCGGAAUUCGUGGUGUAGCGGUGAAAUGCUUAGAUAUCACGAAGAACUCCGAUUGCGAAGGCA
rnacentral:rRNA from 1 species